ensembl:misc_RNA Metazoa_SRP Metazoan signal recognition particle RNA
GCUGGGCGUGGUGGCUCACGCCUGUAAUCCCAGCACUUUGGGAGGCCGAGAUGGGUGGAUCACCUGAGGUCAGGAGUUCGAGACCAGCCUGACCAACAUGGUGAAACCCCGUCUCUA